rnacentral:rRNA from 1 species
UGGGGAAUAUUGGGCAAUGGGCGCAAGCCUGACCCAGCCACGCCGCGUGUGUGAUGAAGGCCUUCGGGUCGUAAAGCACUGUGGGGAGAGACGAAACAGCGCAGGAGGAAAUGCCUGCGCCUUGACGGUACCUCCUUAGCAAGCACCGGCUAACUCUGUGCCAGCAGCCGCGGUAAUACAGAGGGUGCAAACGUUGCUCGGAUUUACUGGGCGUAAAGCGCGUGUAGGCGGACUCGCAAGUCGGUUGUGAAAUCCCUGGGCUUAACCUAGGAACUGCAUCCGAAACUGCUUGUCUUGAGUAAUGGAGAGGGUGGCGGAAUUCCCGGUGUAGAGGUGAAAUUCGUAGAUAUCGGGAGGAACAUCAGUGGCGAAGGCGGCCACCUGGACAUUUACUGACGCUGAGACGCGAAAGCGUGGGGAGCAAACAGGAUUAGAUACCCUGGUAGUCCACGCCGUAAACGAUGAGAACUAGGUGCAGCGGAUAUUGACCUCUGCUGUGCCGUAGCUAACGCGUUAAGUUCUCCGCCUGGGGAGUACGGCCGCAAGGCUA